GAUCCUGGCUCAGGACGAACGCUGGCGGCGCGCCUAACACAUGCAAGUCGAACGAGAGAGAGGGGAGCUUGCUUCCUCGAUCGAGUGGCGAACGGGUGAGUAACGCGUGAGGAACCUGCCUCAAAGAGGGGGGACAACAGUUGGAAACGACUGCUAAUACCGCAUAAGCCCACGACCCGGCAUCGGGUUGAGGGAAAAGGAGCAAUCCGCUUUGAGAUGGCCUCGCGUCCGAUUAGCUAGUUGGUGAGG
rnacentral:rRNA from 1 species